GACGAACGCUGGCGGCGUGCUUAACACAUGCAAGUCGAGCGGAGCGGCGUACGGGUGAGUAACGCGUGAGUAACUGCCCCCCUCUCUGGGAUAACAGUUGGAAACGGCUGCUAAUACCGGAUAGUGGGGGAUGACUCGCGUCCUAUCCGCUUGUUGGUGGGGUAGGGGCCUACCAAGGCGACGACAGGUAGCCGGCCUGGGAGGGGGACCGGCCACAUUGGGCUGGGGUACGGCCCAAACGCCUACGGGAGGCAGCAGGGGGAAAUAUGGCGCAAUGGGGGAAAGCCUGAUGCAGCAACGCCGCGUGCGGGAUGACGGCCUUCGGGUUGUAAACCGCUUUCAGCCAUGACGCGGUAGUGGCAGAAGAAGCACCGGCUAACUACGUGCCAGCAGCCGCGGUAAUAC
rnacentral:rRNA from 1 species